rnacentral:rRNA from 1 species
UGGCGGACGGGUGAGGAAUACAUCGGAAUCUACUCUGUCGUGGGGGAUAACGUAGGGAAACUUACGCUAAUACCGCAUACGACCUACGGGUGAAAGCAGGGGAUCUUCGGACCUUGCGCGAUUGAAUGAGCCGAUGUCGGAUUAGCUAGUUGGCGGGGUAAAGGCCCACCAAGGCGACGAUCCGUAGCUGGUCUGAGAGGAUGAUCAGCCACACUGGAACUGAGACACGGUCCAGACUCCUACGGGAGGCAGCAGCU